rnacentral:lncRNA from 1 species
UGACCCAGUCCCUGUCCCUGCAGAGGGAGGCCUGACCGAAGAGGAGCUGUUGGAGCAGCUGGAGCAGUGUGAGCUGGCCCCUCCUGGGCUGUGGAGCCUGACCCCCAGCCCCUCGCCCCGGAAUUCCCUCUACAGUUCCCAGUCAGAGACUUCCAUAGACUCCAAUCCGAGUCACCAAGGGAGCCCAGGCCCCCCACAGCCAGAGAUGCGGAGGCGGGGGGCUGGUAGCUUUGUGGAACGGUGUCAGGAGCUAGCCCGGAGCGGGCCGGACCCCCGCUGGCCCCCUGCCCCUGCCCCCCGGCCUCGUCCAGGCUCUAGGAGGCCCUGCUGUCCCCCACCCCCCAUAGCUCACUGAGUGAGAUGUCCUUCUGAAUGCCGGCCUUCCUAGGGGAGGACUUGUGACGUGCCUUUGGACAGCCAUCCUCUAUCUGUCCGUUCUGUUCCCUUGCCUCCCUGGGGUCGGGGUGGACUCCCUGUUACAGCCCUGCCAGAAGAAGCCAAAGUUGCCCCGCGUUUCUCUCCGCUCCACACCAAUAAAGUGUUCCCCACUCUUGCCUCCAUUGUCCUCCUCUCUCAUCCCUCCCUGUGCCGUGCUCUUUCCUGUCCCAGCCUGAAGGUCUUGUGGUUUCCCCACAAUAGCGGAGGAAGGGAGCAGGGGGCUCGUCUGGCCUGUGGGAUGCCAGCUCGGGGGGUCCGGCGGGGCUGAGGAGGGGCCGGAAAGAAUGGCUGCCUGCCACUGCCGGUGGGCCCCGGGAUCUCUGGAACCUUCCCCAGAGCGGGAGAUGGCCCACGGAGGAGAGGCUGAGACGGGAGCUGAGCUGGCAAAGCCUGGGUUGGGACCUCGGCACUGUUGGGUGCAUUGUUAUCAGCAGAAGGGUUGGCAGAUGCCUGCAAAAGGAAGUGGCUGUCCAGCAAGCAGGCACUUGCAGGAACUGCGCCGCCGAGCCCACUUCCUUUUCUGCUGGGAACUAGGCUGGUAGAUGAGGGAAGUGCCACGGAUGGGGUUCAGGUUUGUCAGGGCGCUCACACCCUCAGCUCAAGGAGCGAGGCGGGCCCCGGGGCAGCGUGCUGGGGGCUCAGAGUUGGCGCAGAACCGCCUCGAGGGGUGGGCUCGGGUGUCGGGACGGGUUUAAUAAGAUCAAAGUCUGAGAAAGAUAUGAAAAGGUGCAGGUGGGUGGCGCAAGGAGCGGCGCACCAGUUCUGGGGAGAGGAGGACCUAGACUCAUACCCGUCCUCAGAUACCAGGUGAUCCUGGGCAGAUCACCCUGAUCGCUGCCAUCGCCACCCCUCCCUCCCCAAACACCUGAGCCAGAAAAAGAUCUGGAGGUUUCAAUGGACCACGUACUCAAUAGCAGUCAACAAGUUACAGGCAAAGAAACUGAGCCACAGAGUUUAAGUGGCUUGCCCGGGUCCUGCACCUAGUGUCUGAGGUGGGAUUUGAACCUACCAUCACCUUGCCUCUUAAAGUUAUACCUAGGUUAGAUUUUUUUUUUAAGCCCAGAGACUUUUUAUUCUUUUUUUUUUUCAGUUCCAAAUUCUCUCCCUCCCAUUUCCCCCUCCUUUGCCACUUAAAAGGCAAGAAAAAUAAAACUCAUCAUACAUAGGUAUAAUUGUGAAAACAAUUGUGUAUUUAAUAUAUAAUAAUAUUUAUAUAAUGUAUAAUAAUAAAUAUGCAAAUGAAAAUCUUAGCCAUGUUCCAAGAAAAAAAAUUAGAGAAGAAAAUAUAUUUCAGUGUGCACGCGGAGUCUGAUCAGCUCUUUCUCAGAAGGGGGAUGAUAGUAUGUCUCUUCAGGAGUCCGUUGGGAUCGUGGUUUGUUAUUGUCUUGGUCAGAGUGUCUUUCAGGAUUGAUCAGAGUUUGGUCAAUCGUUUCGGUUCUCGCUCCCCUCUGCCUCAGUCCAUACAAGUGCUCCUGGGUUUCUGUGAACCCGCCCCCUGCGUCAUUUCUCACAGAACAAGGACGUGCCACCCCAUACACACAGCACCGCUCGUGCAGCCAUUCAGUGGGAUGCCUGAUCAUCACUCCUCUGGCCUCUCGAGAGACUCCAUCAUUGUCCUGACCAGGCUUGGGCUCGUGAUCCAUGAAGCAGACCGCUGAACAUGUACCACAAAGGAAGCUCAGAUUCGCCAUCGUGGAAGAAAUGUGACACAUUUGGUCAGAAAGGGGUGUCCCGUGCCCCGUAACGACACGCCCAUCGAGUUUGAGGGGUGUUCACUUUGGGGCUUUUUAUGCCCCUGGCUGUCAACGGCUCGGUCCCUGGUCUCUUGCAUGAUCUGCUCUUUGGGAUGGCUUUCCUGUCUUUUAGGGAGAAACUACCUUAACUUGUCUAGUGGGAACCCUCAAGAGUGUUGCUCCUAUCUAAUCUGGACCAGGCCAUAUGUGGAGGAUUGUGUUUGGGCCUAGAGUUCACUUUUAAAAGAGAACUCAACAAAACUACAUUCAGCUAUUGGGAUACAAAUGAACUUGGGGAGAAGUCCCCGUAACAUGGUGGCUGCAGCUUCUCAAUGCUGGUCCAGCCUUACCUCCUCCCCCCGCAGCCUUCCCCUGCUCAUCCAAGCCAAUUUUAGUGAAGACGUCGGUGAUGUGGAAACUUCCCAGGGAAACCAAGCCAGUGGGCCCAUAGUCUCCAUUUUGCCGCCACAGAGAGGGAUGGUCUCCUAGACAAGAGAAGGCCUAAGUUGCCCCUGAGAAGGCGACCCAGAAAUAGGAGCAAUGGGUUGGUUUCCAAGAAACACACUUAGGCCAAGUGAAAGAACAAAAUUCUGACUAUUGGGCUCCCCACAAGUGACUGGCUAACUUGAGAUGUAAUGGGUUCAAUUUGAUGAGUCUUUUUUAGAUGAUUGUGCUGGGAGCUGGUGUUUCCCUCUUUAAGCUGAGCUGGAUAAGAGAAAGGAAUGGCAGAGUGGGAAGGGAAUAAGCAUUGUUAGACAUCCUCUACGUGCCAGACAUUGGGCUGAGGCUCCACAUUUGAUCCUCACAACCUUAGUAGAUGGGUUCUGUUACCCUCAUUUUAUAGUUGAGAAAUUGUGGUAAACAGACAAGUGACUCGCCUAAGGUCAUCCGGCUGAUGGGGGUCUGAAUCUGGUCUUCCUGACUCUGGCCCCAGCAAUGUCUCCACUGCCCCCCCAGCUGCCUUCCUGAUAGGGAUCUGUCAAGUACAUUACAGACGAAAUUCUGCUCUAGGUACGGGCCAAACCGAUGUCCAGACUACAAGAUCUUGUGCUCAGGACUGGGCUCUGUAGUAUGAACAGUAACGAGGGACUAACUCAAUUUGAAUUUUUAGAAUUUAGAGCAAGAAGUGACCUUGUGAGUCCUCUGGUUGGACAGGGAAGGAACAUGAGUCUAGCCCUUUUCAUUCCUGAUAGCUCUGGUCCAGUAGAUCCUAGACCAUAGAUCGCUUCUCAAGGGACUUUAUGAAGAGCCAGGACCUUUGCAAACCUGACACAUUUCAUCACCGAUGUUCUAUGGGUCAGACUCACUCGCACUCAGAGGGAGCCUAAGCAGAUCUCCGGUUUCCCACGGGGGCAUGCUGGACUAGGGGGAGCUCGACGUCAGUCCUGCUCACUCUCUUGUCCUUCCUGGAGCUAAGAUGGAAUGGACUGCUUCGGGAUGUGGUGAGUCCCCCAGUAUGAAAGGGGUUCAAGAAGAGAAUGCUUGCCCUUUUUGUAAUGGCAAGGAACUGGAAACUGAGCGGCUGGCCAUCAGUCAGGGAAUGGCUGAAUAUGUUAUGGGAUGUGAAUGUUAUGGAAUAUUAUUGUUCUGUAAGAAAUGACCAGCAGGAUGACUUCAGAAAGACCUGGACUUACAUGAACUGAUGCUGAGUGAAAUGAGCAGGACCAGAAUACAAUAGCAAGAUUAAAACAAUGAUCAAUUCUCAUGGACGUGACUCCAACAAUGAGAUGAUUCAGGCCACUUUCAAUGUUCUUGUGAUGGUGAGAGCCAUCUGCAUCCAGAGAGAGGAUUGUGGGAACUGAGUGUGGUUCACAACAUAGCAUUCUCAUUCUUUUUGUUGUUCGCGUGCAUUUUGUUUUCUUUCUCAUUGUCUUUCCUUUUUGAUCUGAUUUUUCUUGUGCAGCAAGGUAACUGUAUAAAUAUGUAUAUGUAUAUUUAUGUUAUCUUAACAUGUAUAAUGUAUAUUGGAUUGCUUGCCAUCUAGGAGAGGGGAUGGGAGGAAGGAGGGGGAAAAUCUGAAAUGUAAGGCUUUGCGAGGAGCAAUGUUGAAAAAUUAUCCAUGCAUAUGAUUUAAAAAUAAAAAGCUUUUUAAAAAGAGAGAGGAUGCUAGUCUAGGAGACUUCUACACAGACAUGGGAGGGACCUGCUGCCCUCUGAAAAUUCACUCAAUUCUAAGAUUCUGCAUUGCUGUGAAGCCUGUUUUCUUCCAUAAUGGGAGAAGGGAUGAAGUCCAAUCUAGAGUACAGGGUGCCUAGAACAUAGCCAUAGCUAGCAUUUUAAAAAAUUGAAUUAAUUUAAUUUUUAUUUUCUUUCCAAAUAUAUGCAAAGAUAGUUUUCAACAUUCACUUUUACAAAACUUUAUGUUCCAAAUUUUUCUCCCUCCCUCUCUUCCAUGCCCCUCUCCUAGACAGCAAGCGAUCCAGUAUAGGUUAAACAUGUACAAUUCUUCUAAAUUUAUAUCUACAUUAUGCUGCACAAUAAAGAUCAUCUCAAAAGGAAAAAAAGAAAGAAAGAAAAAAAAGAAGCAAACAUACAAAAAACAUGAAAAUACUAUGCUUUGAUCCACAUUCAUCCUCUCUCUGGAUGUGGAUGGCUCUCUCCAUCACAAAUCUAUUGGAAUUAUCUUGAAUCACCUCACUGUAGAAAAGACCCAUGUCCAUCACUUAAUCAUCACAUAAUCUUGUUGUUGCUGUAUACAAUGUUCUCUUGGUUCUGCUCACUUCACUUAGCAUCCGUUCAUAUAAGUCUUUUCUGAAACGAGCUAAGAUUUGAAUAAAGGGGAUAUAUUAGAUCUGGAGUCCUAUACGUAUUUGCAGAAGUUGCAUUUUAGGCAAAAGAAUGACAAACUAGAGCAAGGUCUGCUGGAAGGGGAUAAGAAUGAUGAGAAUGGAGGGCAUCUCUUAACUUAUGUUGGAGAACUGAUUCAGUAUUUUGCACAUUCUUUUUGAGCCAAGACAAUUUGUCUUCUUCAGUCCACAAGGGAAGAGCUCAAAAAGAAACAUGCAAAGAGGUAUUGUAGCCAGGUUCUUUAUUAAAAUGGGACAAAUUCGAAUAUUCCGUUGUCUUUCUUGCCGAAUUGAGAAGACAAAAAGGGCAGUGCUGGCAGCUGGAGUUAGGAGUAGCUGCAACAUUGCAGGAACAAGAAAUAUAUGAAGAAUUAUAAGGGUCCUAAAGCAGGUGUUUUUCAUUGAGGGAGAGGGCUGAAUGGUCAAGUUUCCCUUGGGAAAGACAAUCUCUCAUAAUCCUUCAAAGUAGCAAUGUCUAAUCUGACUAAAGCCUUUUGCUAGAAUGAAAAGUUCUAAAAUCUAGAAAGACUUGUAUGAACUGAUACAAAGUGAAAUGAACAGAACCAGGAAAACAUUGUAUACAAUAAUAGCAACCUUGUAUGAUAACCAGCUCUUAGCUCUCCUAAGUUCUCAAAAGUUCAGUGAUCCAAGACAAAUACAAAGAAUUUAUGAUGGAAAAUGUUAUUUAUAUCCAGAGGAAAAAACCCGAUGGACUCUGAAUAAAGAUUAAAGCAUAC